rnacentral:rRNA from 1 species
UACGUAGGCAGCGAGCGUUGUUCGGAAUUACUGGGCGUAAAGGAGUGUGUAGGCGGUUGCUCUAAGUUCGGUGUGAAAUCUCCCGCUUAACUGGGAGGGUGCGCCGGAAACUGGAGUGCUCGAACGUGGGAGAGGGAAAGCGGAAUUCCUGGUGUAGCGGUGAAAUGCGUAGAUAUCAGGAGGAACACCUGCGGUGUAGACGGCUUCUGGACCAUUGUUGACGCUGAGACACGAAAGCGUGGGUAGCAAACAGG